UUUGACUAUACGAAGGUAUUGAAAUAAGAUCUUAAAUAGAUGCUAAGAGAAUGGUUGAACAAAGGUUAUCUUUCUUAAAAUAAAUAAUUAAAAGUUGGUUUUUGUGUGAAAAAACACAAGUGUUUGUUUGGGACAAGAAGACCCUAUGAAUUUUUAUUUUAGCCAAAAAAAAUAUUUUUUAGUUAAAAUUUGAUUGGGGUGAUUAUUAAAGAUUAAAGAUCUUUAAUUAUAAUAAGUUGAUCCGUUAAUAACGAUUUUUUAAAAAAAAUACUCUAGGGAUAACAGCGUAAUAAUUUUGGAUAGUUCUUAUUGAUAAAAUUGAUUGCGACCUCNAUGUUGGAUUAANAUUCUUUUUUAAUGAANAAGUUAUAAUAAGAAGUUUGCUCAACUUUUAAUAUCUUACUUGA
rnacentral:rRNA from 1 species